rnacentral:rRNA from 1 species
GAUGAACGCUAGCGAUAGGCCUAACACAUGCAAGUCGAGGGGCAGCACAAGGUAGCUUGCUAUCUGGGUGGCGACCGGCGCACGGGUGCGUCACGCGUAUGCAACUUGCCCUAUACAGGAGGAUAACCCGUCGAAAGACGGACUAAUACUGCGUAUGCUCACAACUUGGCAUCAAGUGGUGAGGAAAGAAAUUCGGUAUAGGAUAGGCAUGCGUCCCAUUAGCUUGUUGGUGAGGUAACGGCUCACCAAGGCAACGAUGGGUAGGGGAACUGAGAGGUUUAUCCCCCACACGGGUACUGAGACACGGACCAGACUCCUACGGGAGGCAGCAGUGAGGAAUAUUGGUCAAUGGGCGCGAGCCUGAACCAGCCAAGUCGCGUGAAGGAUGACUGUCUUAUGGAUUGUAAACUUCUUUUAUACGGGAAUAACAAGAGUCACGGGUGACUCCCUGCAUGUACCGUAUGAAUAAGCAUCGGCUAACUCCGUG